rnacentral:tRNA from 1 species
UGCGGGAGUAGUUCAAUUGGUUAGAGCACCGCCCUGUCAAGGCGGAAGUUGCGGGUUCGAGCCCCGUCUCUCGC